rnacentral:rRNA from 1 species
UUCGGGGUACACGAGCGGCGAACGGGUGAGUAACACGUGAGCAACCUGCCCCUGACUCUGGGAUAAGCGGUGGAAACGCCGUCUAAUACCGGAUACGACCUUCCGCCUCAUGGUGGAGGGUGGAAAGUUUUUUCGGUCAGGGAUGGGCUCGCGGCCUAUCAGCUUGUUGGUGGGGUAACGGCCUACCAAGGCGAUUACGGGUAGCCGGCCUGAGAGGGCGACCGGCCACACUGGGACUGAGACACGGCCCAGACUCCUGCGGGAGGCAGCAGUGGGGAAUAUUGCGCAAUGGGCGAAAGCCUGACGCAGCGACGCCGCGUGGGGGAUGACGGCCUUCGGGUUGUAAACCUCUUUUACCACCAACGCAGGCUCCGGGUUCUCUCGGGGUUGACGGUAGGUGGGGAAUAAGGACCGGCUAACUACGUGCCAGCAGCCGCGGUAAUACGUAGGGUCCGAGCGUUGUCCGGAAUUAUUGGGCGUAAAGAGCUCGUAGGCGGCGUGUCGCGUCUGCUGUGAAAGACCGGGGCUUAACUCCGGUUCUGCAGUGGAUACGGGCAUGCUAGAGGUAGGUAGGGGGAGACUGGGAAUUCCUGGUGUAGCCGGUGAAAUGCGCAGAUAUCAGGAGGAACACCGGUGGCGAAGGCGGGUCUCUGGGCCUUACCUGACGCUGAGGAGCGAAGCAUGGGGAGCGAACAGGAUUAGAUACCCCUGGUAGUCCAUGCCGUAAACGUUGGCGCUAGG